rnacentral:rRNA from 1 species
UACGUAGGGUGCAAGCGUUGUCCGGAAUUAUUGGGCGUAAAGAGCUCGUAGGCGGCUUGUCGCGUCGGCUGUGAAAACCUGGGGCUCAACCCCGGGCCUGCAGCCGAUACGGGCAAGCUAGAAUUCGGUAGGGGAGACUGGAAUUCCUGGUGUAGCGGUGAAAUGCGCAGAUAUCAGGAGGAACACCGGUGGCGAAGGCGGGGCUCUGGGCCGAUAUUGACGCUGAGGAGCGAAAGCGUGGGGAGCGAACAGG